rnacentral:rRNA from 1 species
UACAGAGGGUGCAAGCGUUAAUCGGAAUUACUGGGCGUAAAGCGUGCGUAGACGGUUAUGUAAGUCAGAUGUGAAAGCCCCGGGCUUAACCUGGGAAUGGCAUUUGAGACUGCAUAGCUAGGGUGCGGAAGAGGGAAGCGGAAUUUCCGGUGUAGCGGUGAAAUGCGUAGAUAUCGGAAGGAACACCAGUGGCGAAAGCGGCUCCUGGUCCAGCACCGACGUCAGGCACGAAAGCGUGGGGAGCAAACAGG